rnacentral:rRNA from 1 species
GACGAACGCUGGCGGCGUGCUUAACACAUGCAAGUCGAACGGAAAGGCCCCUUUGGGGGUCCUCGAGUGGCGAACGGGUGAGUAACACGUGAGUAACCUGCCCUUGACUUCGGGAUAACUUCAGGAAACUGGGGCUAAUACCGGAUAGGAAUCCUUGCUGCAUGGUGGGGGUUGGAAAGCUUCGGCGGUUUUGGAUGGACUCGCGGCUUAUCAGCUUGUUGGUGGGGUAGUGGCUUACCAAGGCUUUGACGGGUAGCCGGCCUGAGAGGGCGACCGGCCACAUUGGGACUGAGAUACGGCCCAGACUCCUACGGGAGGCAGCAGUGGGGAAUAUUGAACAAUGGGCGGAAGCCUGAUGCAGCAACGCCGCGUGCGGGAUGACGGCCUUCGGGUUGUAAACCGCUUUCAGCAGGGGCGAAGCUUGUGGUGACGGUACCUGCAGAAGAAGCACCGGCUAACUACGUG